GACGUAGGGGGCCAGCGUUGUUCGGAAUCACUGGGCGUAAAGGGCGUGUAGGCGGCCUGAUAAGUAGGGGGUGAAAUCCUGCGGCUUAACCGCAGGGCUGCCUUCUAAACUGUCAGGCUUGAGCACAGUAGAGGCAGGUGGAAUUCCCGGUGUAGCGGUGGAAUGCGUAGAGAUCGGGAAGAACAUCAGUGGCGAAGGCGGCCUGCUGGGCUGUUGCUGACGCUGAGGCGCGACAGCGUGGGGAGCAAACAGG
rnacentral:rRNA from 1 species